rnacentral:pre_miRNA from 1 species
GCACGUAUGCGGAUGGUGUUCAGCACCAGGGACAGUCGUGAUUACCUGUGUGUGAAAAAUGUUCAGCACCAGGGACAGGCGUGUUUACCU